CCAUUUAAUUUACUGCCUGCAGGAAUUCCAAACUUAAUUGUGAGACUAUAAAAUGUUCAAGUAUUCUGCUUACUGAAUUCCUUUUACUGAAGUUCUGCAUGAAAUGAUUAAAUAUGCUUUCGAUCAGGAAGAGUGAGUGUGUCACUUGCUGAUGAGGGGACUCCCAAAGAAAAGGGUACUUUGCUUCCAGGCAAUACCAUACACCAUGAGAAACAGAAUGGUUUAUUGAAGAUGUACUGGUUCCGCUCGCCUGGAGAGAAGGUUUGGGAGCGCACUAUCAUGCUGUUCCUGACAAAGGGACGCUGUCUGCAGCUCCAGCUGGCUCUGUCCUUGGGUCGGACUGCUGUGUUCUCGUUAACCGACUCCUCAGUGUUAGUCUCUUUAUCAACCUAUGAACAGGAAUUUAAUGGAAAUAAAAAAUCCCGAACCACUAAACCGAAUGAAAGAACCCUCAUUGCAUUAAGCUCUGGCACAAUCCACAGCUUCUUAUGCUGCUGCUUCAUUAUGACCUGUGAAAACACUGCAAACUGAAGGUAUUCAUGAAACCUCAUUGAAGAAAUGAUAAUGCAACAACAGCACAAUAUUUUGAAAAUGGCAUGGCUCCUCCACUGAAAACAGAGAGGAGAAUCUCUCUCAUC